rnacentral:rRNA from 1 species
AUGGUUCAAACAACAAAACAUAGAACUUUCCAAUUGGUAUAUCGCCUCAUCGAGUUGACAUUAAUUCUUCCAGUGGCAACUUCAUCGGUCGAAAGGAUAUUUUCAGCAAUGAAGAUCAUCAAAACUGAUUUGCGCAAUAAGAUAUCAGGUGAUUGGCUUAAUGAUUUAAUGGUUUGCUAUUGUGAGAAAAGGAUAUUCAGAAGUAUUCCCGAUGAUCAAAUUAUGAUACGAUUCCAGAAAAAGAAAGAUCGAAAAGGACAUUUGCCUCCUGAGUAUAAUGUGAUUUCUUAG